rnacentral:rRNA from 1 species
UGGGGAAUAUUGCACAAUGGGCGCAAGCCUGAUGCAGCAACGCCGCGUGAGGGACGACGGCCUUCGGGUUGUAAACCUCUUUUGGCAGGGAAGAAGCGAGAGUGACGGUACCUGCAGAAAAAGCACCGGCUAACUACGUGCCAGCAGCCGCGGUGAUACGUAGGGUGCAAGCGUUGUCCGGAAUUAUUGGGCGUAAAGAGCUCGUAGGCGGUUUGUCGCGUCUGCUGUGAAAACCCGAGGCUCAACCUCGGGCCUGCAGUGGGUACGGGCAAACUAGAGUGCGGUAGGGGAGAUUGGAAUUCCUGGUGUAGCGGUGGAAUGCGCAGAUAUCAGGAGGAACACCGAUGGCGAAGGCAGAUCUCUGGGCCGUAACUGACGCUGAGGAGCGAAAGCAUGGGGAGCGAACA